ensembl:processed_transcript Gm19744 predicted gene, 19744
GUUCUGGGCGAGUGUGCCCGAGACCAGGCGCGUACACGUGUGUGUGUGUGUGUGUGUGUGUGUGUGUGUGUGUGUGUGCGCGCGCGUGUAUGUGUAAGAGAGAGGAGCGGAGCCUACCAUGCGCUUCCCUGGUGCGGAUCGCGGGAGAGCCCAAUCACAGGGCGAGCUGGACCUGGCUGUGAUCAUUUAUAAUCCUUGACUCCUCCGCUCAGCCACUUGUCAAGAUGACAGGAGUUAAGGAAGGCAAUAAGAAUAGAGGAGGCAUGAACACACAAGAACUUGGGAAGAGAGGAAUGUGAGCUGUGAAAAACCAAGCAGAAGUGUUUCCAUCUCAAUGGCACUAUGAGCUGGAGAAGUCAUAGGAAACCAAAGCACUCAAGAGGAGACACAGCUAUCAAGAACUCCUGUCCACCGGGCAUUGGUGGAAGGAGAUGAAGCCAUUUUUACCAACCUGAACCUUUUUUCCGUGGGGCACUAUACAGCUUAACCUAUGAACUCUGUCGAGCCGUUGAGGGCUCCUAAACAAUUUCUUAGCACGGAGUUCCUCUUUUCAGCAAACCCUGCUUCUCACUGAGUACAGAGUCGAAGCAAUCCUACAGCACUAACAUUUCAAUUGUUGCAUAUGGAGCCCAGUACAUAAAGGACUCCCCAAAGAGAGCGGUUUAU